UUGGUAUGGUAUAUUCAUACCAUAACAUAUGAACAGUAAGAACUAGAAUUCUUAUCGAUACUGGAAACUCAUAG
rnacentral:tRNA from 1 species